GAUGAACGCUGGCGGCGUGCCUAAUACAUGCAAGUCGAGCGAACAGAUGAGGAGCUUGCUCCUCUGACGUUAGCGGCGGACGGGUGAGUAACACGUGGAUGACCUACCUAUAAGACUGGGAUAACUUCGGGAAACCGGAGCUAAUACCGGAUAAUAUAUUGAACCGCAUGGUUCAAUAGUGAAAGACGGUUUUGCUGUCACUUAUAGAUGGAUCCGCGCCGCAUUAGCUAGUUGGUAAGGUAACGGCUUACCAAGGCAACGAUGCGUAGCCGACCUGAGAGGGUGAUCGGCCACACUGGAACUGAGACACGGUCCAGACUCCUACGGGAGGCAGCAGUAGGGAAUCGUCCGCAAUGGGCGGAAGCCUGACGGAGCAGCGCCGCGUGAGUGAUGAAGGUCUUCGGAUCGUAAAACUCUGUUAUUAGGGAAGAACAAAUGUGUAAGUAACUAUGCACGUCUUGACGGUACCUAAUCAGAAAGCCACGGCUAACUACGUG
rnacentral:rRNA from 1 species